rnacentral:rRNA from 1 species
GGAGGCAGCAGUGGGGAAUAUUGCACAAUGGGGGAAACCCUGAUGCAGCGACGCCGCGUGAGUGAAGAAGUAUUUCGGUAUGUAAAGCUCUAUCAGCAGGGAAGAAGUGACGGUACCUGAAUAAGAAGCCCCGGCUAACUACGUGCCAGCAGCCGCGGUAAUACGUAGGGGGCAAGCGUUAUCCGGAUUUACUGGGUGUAAAGGGAGCGUAGACGGCAAGGCAAGUCUGAAGUGAAAGCCCGGUGCUUAACGCCGGGACUGCUUUGAAAACUGUUUGGCUGGAGUGCCGGAGAGGUAAGCGGAAUUCCUAGUGUAGCGGUGAAAUGCGUAGAUAUUAGGAAGAACACCAGUGGCGAAGGCGGCUUACUGGACGGUAACUGACGUUGAGGCUCGAAAGCGUGGGGAGC